UCUCACAGAUGAAAAAGGAGAGAGCCGCGCUCAGGCUGCAAGCAGUGACAGUGCCCAGGGCUCUGAUGUGUGUCUCACGGAUCCUAUAGUGUGAGACAGCUGCCUUGUGGGGACUGAGUGAUGCCCGGUCCCACUUUGUGACGUCAGAUCCCCUGACGCCUCUUUCUGCAGCUUCAUCUGAAUGUGUCUGUGUUCCUAUCAGCAUAGUGUGAGGAGGUGGGGAGACUGGCCCAGCCCCACCCACCACGACCCCUCCCCACCCUGAUCUGUGUUCCCUUCCCUGAUCCACUUUCCUGUUCCAGCAGAGGUGGGGCUGGGCCAGCUCCAUCCCUAUCUUAACUUUGUGUUGCACUAAUACGGUCUUACUUUCCUAUUGAAAAUAAAAUCCAAUAUGAAUUAGUUUUUUCUAUUCAUGCCGUGAGGUGCUGAUGAAGCUUCCUAAAGUUUGAGAGAGGAAAUAAAUGGAAGCACUGAGAAACUUC